CUUAAGUGUAGUACAGAGGGAGUGCUGCACUGCUGGCAAUGCUGUCUUGUGGAUGAGAGAGUAAACCAAGGCCUCCUCUGCUUUCUAAGAAAACAGAAUGCCCAUCUGCUCCCCUCCAACAUAUGACACACAGAGAGUCAAGCAGCACUCAUUUUUGCUGUCUGCCCUAGUGAGCACCGCUGGGAAGGCCUUAGCUGCUGACAAACUGAGAAACACUGAAGUCCCAGGAUUAAGGAACAAUUCAAGUGACAGGAAGACCCAGCAGCUGUAAGCAUUAACGAAACUAACUGCUUGGAAUCAAACUUGUUGACUACUUUAGUUUUUUCAUAAAUGUAAAGCCAAUGCAACAACGGAUGUCAUUCUUGAGUUG